rnacentral:rRNA from 1 species
AGCAGUCGCCGCGGUAAUACGUAGGUGGCGAGCGUUGUCCGGAAUUAUUGGGCGUAAAGGGAGCGCAGGCGGACAUAUAAGUCCAUCUUAAAAGUGCGGGGCUCAACCCCGUGAGGGGAUGGAAACUGUAUGCCUUGAGUGCAGGAGAGGAGGGUGGAAUUCCACGUGUAGCGGUGAAAUGCGUAGAGAUGUGGAGGAACACCAGUGGCGAAGGCGACUCUCUGGUCUGUAACUGACGUUGAGGAGCGAAAGCGUGGGGAGCGAACAGGAUUAGAGACCCCUGUAGUCCCUGUCUCUUAUACA